GGAGAGGUGGCUCAGGGGGUAAGAGCACUGACUGCCCUUCCAGAGGUCCUGAGUUCAAUACCCAGCACCCGCA
rnacentral:tRNA from 1 species